CUUGCUGUCCCCAGUCCACCUGGUCGUGCUGCUGCUCCAGUUUGAACUGUUCUGCCUGUGGCUAUGGAACCCUGACCUGUUCACCGGACGUGCUACCUGUUCCAGACCUGCUGUUUUCAACUCUCUAGAGACACCAAGAGCGGUAGAGAUACUCUGAAUGAUCGGCUAUGAAAAGCCAACUGACAUUUACGCCUGAGGUGCUGACCGGCACCCUCUACAACCACUGUGAUUAUUAUUAUUUGACCCUACUGGUCAUUUAUGAAUAUUUGAACAUCUUGGCCAUGUUCUGUUAUAAUCUCCACUCAGCACAGCCAGAAGAGGACUGGCCACCCCUCAGCCUGGUUCCUCUCUAGGUUUCUUCCUAGGUUCUGGCCUUUUUAGGGAGUUUUUCUUAGCCACCGUGCUUCUACACCUGCAUUGCUUGCUGUUUGGGGUUUUAGGCUGGGUUUCUGUACAGCACUUUGUGACAUCAGCUGAUGUAAGAAGGGCUUUAUAAAUUAAUUUGAUUGAUUGAAACUCUUUUCUUUUGGGGGAACUAUCAUUUUCAAAUGUGUUCUAUUUUAGUCCAUGAUAUUGUUACAAAAUAGAUGUGUUGACUGAUUAGGGUAUGGGAAUAUAAGAGCAUCUGCUAGGCUAAAUUAAACUAGGCAUGCACAGCGCACCACAUGAUCCUCAAACCAAAGACUGGCCAAACUCGUGCUUCUAAAAGUGAAUUCAAAAAGGUGUUUUUCAGUUCAUUCUGAUCAGAAUGAGUUGUUCCCCACACAAGGGCUUUCUUACAGACAGAAAUACCCUCCCCCUCAUCAGAUUUGGAGGUCCUGGGCUACAUUUUUUUGUAGGUAUGGGAUCUUUUAUUUCAACUCAAGAAAAAUGGGACCAGUGUUUUAUUUUUGUUCAGUGUAGCAUAAAACAUUGCGUAUGUCAUUAUAGAUCGCUUUAUAUAAUCAGGUCCAUUUUAAUUUAUUUUGAAAUCUUAAAUUAUCAAGAUGUAGGCCUAUGCUUUUAGUCAUUUUCUUCAACUAAAGCAACAUCACCCUCACAUAACUCCUCAAUUCAAGACCUGUUUUGACCUUAACACAGCAAGCUCUUCACUUACACAGAUAUUUAAGGAGUGCAUGGUCACUGAAGUGAUUGGCUGACAAUCUAUGGAUGGUAGACUAUAAAUUCAUCUGUCAAACAGGUAGGCCUACCUGUUAUUUCUUGAAUAUGAAUAGGUUCUUAAACAAAGCACUCUUGUUAGUAUUCUAAAGUCAAAUUAAAAUGAAGACUUUAAAUGAAUUAGGUCUUCUUAUAUUUACCUACUACCCAUGCGCUGUCCAUCUCCGCAGCUGCAAAGUAAUGUAUGUAAAUUACUCAGGGCUUUUUGAGGUCAAUAACUCUGAUAAAUAGCUUCAUUAUGGGCAACUAAACCAAUGUUUAUAUUAAAAUGAAUUAUAAUGAGGUCAUCCUCUUCACGCUCUCCCUUUCAAACGGAAUAGGACAUCAGUAGGUCUAGUCCGCGUGAACAGAUAUGGCAUUUUUUAAAAUAUAUAUAUUGACUGGCCUCCUGAAGUGCCACCGUACACAGCACAGUCAUUGGUUAGGCAGCCGCAGCACAAAGGGGUUUACUUCAGCAAGAGCAUUGCAGGAUGGGCCUCUUGAUUGGGAACGCCUAUCCAUUGCAGUGUGUAAUGCAGUGUAGCCUAGUUUUAUAUUCACCAUCUCAGCAGCGCAAAAACUUGGGAUGGAAGUUCAUUAUUUUAGGAACAUAGCUUUGCCCUGUGCUCUUCGUGUAGCCUAGGCCUAUAGUAUAGACCAGCCUUUCCCAAACUAUUUUGUGCCAGGGAGACCCCAGAGGGUUUUUUAUAUUUGUAUUUUGUUGCAGCAAGAGAGAAGCUGGUCUCACAUAAGUAGGUAGAAUGAAAGGGGAUUCACUUCAACUCUGUCAUAUCGCGUUUGCUGCUGAACAGUCAGAAUGUGAACAGGCGCAUCUCAUUAAAACGAGAGCGCAGGCCUUGGUCACAGGACAGCUCCAAUAGUUUAUCAUCAAUAACUGAUGACAAGCUGUGAGUCUCUUCAGUGCUGGUGAACGGAUUACGUAUCCACUGCUUUCCCAGGCGUGGAUCAGAUUGCGAGGGGAAGUAAUCUUCGAAUUUGAGCAGAGUUUUGCUCAGAUGUGACCCCAACAAUUUAUGUAUGUGAUCCAUGUCUACAUAACCCACGUCAGUCAGAGUUUAGAAUAGAGGGGACAUAUCAAAAAAUGCCUCUAUCCACUCGGUCUCUCCAGACACCCAGUUUUUUCUUGAAAUCGGCAAUUCUAUCGUUUGCUUGGAAAAUGUCACUUUAGCGUCCCUGCAUGGCUAGGUUGAGCAGCAGUCUUGUCUAUAGGCCUGCAGUUCCCGAUACAACAGUCCCAUCGUAAUCCAUGUCCGUAUGUACUCGUUCAGGACACGCAGUUGUAUUCUGAGGCAACUCUUUGCCAGGUCAUUUUCAUAUGUGGCAAAUAUAUACAAAAAGCGGAAUUUGAAAUGUCAGUCUUCUUGUGAACUACAAUUCUGACGCUGUGUUUUAACGUUUAUAAACAUCCAAUAAUCAUCAGUGAUGAGUGACUAUGACUGCCAGUAAAACAGAUGAGGAUGGAACUGGGCCAGUGGAGCAGGCUCUGUCUCAGGACACAUCAGUGAUGACAGUGUCUCAGUGUGUUCUGGCUCUGUGGAUGCUGUUUCCUACCUGACCCUACACCAGAGGAGGAGCAGGGGCUGAUGAGCAUGCCCAAGACCAUGAUGGGAACAAUUUUAACCUGAGGAGGUGGUACAGGAUCAUGCAGUCUUCCCUGACCACAGACAGAGACAGCAGGACAACAUAGCCAGGUUCUGUAAGAACCACUAUGCGGAGAUGGAGGCCACUCUCCUCAGGAUGUACGAAUGGCUACUGGACCGGUUCUCCUUCUUCCUGGGGGUGAAACCUGACUGUGUGUAUGAAGAAGUACUGAAGGUGGAGAGGCAUUUCCUCAGGAGCAGCAAGCCCUGGGCUAGAGCUUUAACUACGCCCACAAAGACACAGCCCAGAAAACAGCCCAACGGCAAACAAACCAGAAAAACAACUUUGUUCUCUAGGCAGCUAAAGAGAGUGACUUCAUCGGGACCAACUACUAUGGAUAGUUACUGUGCCAUAAUGCCAUGCUGACGGAUUACUUUCAUUUUUGUCUCGAUGUAACAUGAUUGUUUGCCUUUUUGUACAAAUUGCCUGUGGAUUACAAUGUGAUUACGAUGUGAUAUGAUGUUUAUGAACAUGCUGUACUUUCAGUUAUAUUAAACUAUAUUUUCUGUUAUUACAAUGAUAUACGUGAACCUUUGUCCCAGCUAUGAAUCGAGGUUCAUAAAAAUCAGACAUUUAUGCACAUACGGCUAUGCAACUCUGUUAAUUAAGGAAUACCAGACAUUUUAGGCUAAGACUACAGGCUGUCAAUUUGCGUGUUACUUUAGUUUUGAGUGUGAUGGACAGGUAAUGGGUGUUACCUGCCAUUAGUGGUUUUGGACGGCUUUGUCCCAAUUCCCGGACACUUCUAUGAAACUUUGUAGAAGCACCUAUGGCAGCGAUUACAGCUUUGAGUCGUCUUGUCUGUAUCAGCAUUGCACAUCUGGAUUUGGGGAUUUUCUCUCAUUCUUCCUUGCAGAUUUUCUCAUGCUCUGUUAAGUUAGAUGGGGAGCGGCAGUGAACAGCAAUCUUCAAGUCACUGCAGAUCAUCACCAAAUUUCACAGUGGGUGUGAGACCUGGAGAGGCCUACAAGCCACAGUGCCAGGUCAAUCAAGGUGUGGAUAGAGGACCACCAGAUCAAGACCCUGUCAUGGCCAGCCCAAUCUCCAGACCUGAACCCCAUUGAAAACCUCUAGAAUGUGAUCAAGAGGAAGAUGAAUGGUCACAAGCCAUCAAACAAAGCCAAGCUACUUACAUUUUUGCUCCAGAAGUGGCAUACAAUUGGAAAAUCUGAACAUCGCUCCCCAUGAUAGCUGUCUUUCGGAACGUGUUCCCACCUAUAAAUACCUUGGAGUUUGGUUAGAUGAUCAUCUCUUUUAAAACUCGUAACUGAGAUGGCAAAGAAGCUGUGUCAUCAGAGCACAGAACGUAAAUUGUACAGGCCACUUAUGUCAGUGCUUGAUUAUGGUGAUGUUUUAUAUAUGCAUGGAUCAGCAUCAGUACUGAAGACAUUGGAUGCAGCGUUGCGCUUUGUUACUUUUGCACACAACAUUGCCUUUUAUACACUUUGGCUGGCUGGGACUCCCUGACUUUUAGAAGGACCAGAUACUGGUUGAUAUUUGUCUAUAAAGCUGUCUUACAGAAACUUCCUAAUUAUCUUAACUCAACAAUCCAGUGGUCAAACAGAAUUUAUCAGACUCGGUCACAGGACAUGCUAGUGCUAGAGAUGCCCCAGAUUCACUCUGAGUUAGGCAAAACGGCAUUUCAAUAUCAUGCUCCACACUCAUGGAAUGAAUUGCAGAGAGAACUCCAGUUAGAUGUUUUGGUGCCUGUAAGACAGUUUAAAUGCACAUUACAUUAACUUUUUAGUAUAAACUGUGAUUUCUUUUUGUAAUGUGUUUUUCUUAUAGAAGUGUAUUUAUUUAAAUAGUUUUCAUCUCCGUCUUGUUACGGCUGUUAAAGGAAGAGGACCAAAGCGCAGCGUGGUUGGCGUACAUUUUCCUUUAUUGAAUAAAAAUGACGCCGAACAAAACAAUAAACACUACAAAACAGCUAAAGGCUAUGUGCCCUAAACAAAGUCAACUUUCCACAAAGACAGGUGGGAAAAGGGCUACCUAAGUAUGUUUCUCAAUCAGAGACAACGAUGGACAGCUGCCUCUGAUUGAGAACCACACCCUGCCAAACACAAAGAAAUAGAAACAUAGAAAUAAAGAAACUAGAAUGCCCACCCUAGUCACACCCUGGCCUAACCAAAAUAGAGAAUAAAAGCCUCUCUAGGGUGUGACACUUGUACUUUUUAUAUAUUUUCAUUUUGUUUGGUUUCAAAUUCAUAUUAAUUGCUGUGUUUGUAUUGUUGUAUCACAGGGCACAACUGUAAAAGAGACUGUCUCAGCUUGUUUCUCCUGUUUUAAUAAAGAUUAAUAAAAGAAAGUCACCCAACAUCAAUGUGAAAAACUGAUGGAGAGCAUGCCAAGA
ensembl:lncRNA